AUGGGACUAGGCAGAGUUUUGUGUUACUUUACUCUAACAAUCUUCAUUCAAUAUUCCUGCAGUCAGACACUGAUCGAGUCUGAUCCAGUGAUCAUCAAACCUGAUCAUUCUCAUAAACUGAUCUGCACAGCAUCUGGAUUUAACUUUGGUGGCUCUUGGAUGGCUUGGAUCAGACAGGCGCCUGGAAAAGGGCUGGCAUUUGUUGCAACUAUUGAGGGUGAUAGUGAUAGGAAGUUUUACUCCAGCGCUGUUCAGGGCCGCUUCACCAUCUCCAGAGACAACAAUAAGAUGCAGGUGUAUCUGCAGAUGAACAGCAUGAGGACAGAAGACACUGCAGUUUAUUACUGCGCCCGUCACACACAGUGAUACUUCCCCUUAGACAUCAGUACAAAAACACAGACUUGCUAUAGACACAUGACAAACCCACAUUUUCAGAUUCAUGGAGGUGAAAGAACCAAAAUGUUUACAGUGUC